rnacentral:rRNA from 1 species
GAUGAACGCUGGCGGCGUGCCUAAUACAUGCAAGUCGAGCGAACAGACGAGGAGCUUGCUCCUCUGACGUUAUCGGCGGACGGGUGAGUAACACGUGGAUAACCUACCUAUAAGACUGGGAUAACAUCGGGAAACCGGAGCUACUACCGGAUAAUAUAUCGAACCGCAUGGUUCAAUAGUUAAAGACGGUUUUUCUUUCACUUAUAGAUGGAUCCGCCUCGCAUUAGUUAGUUGGUAAGGUAACGGAUUACCAACGCAACGAUGCGUAGCCGACCUGAGCGGGUGAUCGGCCACACGGGAACUGAGACACGGUCCAGACUCCUACAGGAGGCAGCAGUAGAGACUCUUCCGCGAAGGGCGAGAGCCUGACGGAGCAACGUCGCGUGAGUGAUGAAGGUCUUCUGAUCGUAAAGCGCUGUUAUUAGGGAAGUACAAAUGUGUAAGUAACUAUGCACGUCUUGACGGUACCUGAACAGAAAGCCACGGCUAACUACGUG